CGCUCAGGUGGCCUAGUGGUUAGAGCGUCCGCCUCGGAUGCGAGAGGUUACGGGUUCGAAUCCCGGCCGAGUCA